GGCACGGUGGCUCAGCGGUUAGAGCCCCCGCCUCAUGAACGGGAGGUCGUGAGUUCGAACCCCGGCCGAGUCA
rnacentral:tRNA from 1 species